rnacentral:rRNA from 1 species
AACGAACGUUAGCGGCGCGCCUAACACAUGCAAGUCGCACGAGAAAGGGCUUCGGCCCCGGUACAGUGGCGCACGGGUGAGUAACACGUAGGUAAUCUUCCCUAGAGUGGUGGAUAACUCUCCGAAAGGGGAGCUAAUACAGCAUGAGACCACAGCAUCUCCGGAUGCAGCGGUCAAAGCAGGCCUCUACAUGUAAGCUUGCGCUCAAGGAUGAGCCUGCGGCCCAUCAGCUAGUUGGUGAGGUAACGGCCCACCAAGGCUAAGACGGGUAGCUGGUCUGAGAGGAUGAACAGCCACACUGGAACUGACACACGGUCCAGACUCCUACGGGAGGCAGCAGUGGGGAAUCUUGCGCAAUGGGCGAAAGCCUGACGCAGCGACGCCGCGUGAGCGAUGAAGGCCUUCGGGUUGUAAAGCUCUGUGGGGAGAGAAGAAUAAGGAUACGCUAACACCGUACUCGAUGACGGUAUCUCCUUAGCAAGCACCGGCUAACUCUGUGCCAGCCGCCGCAGUAACAC